AUUGAACGCUGGCGGCAGGCCUAACACAUGCAAGUCGAACGAGUGGCGGACGGGUGAGUAAUGUCUGGGAAACUGCCUGAUGGAGGGGGAUAACUACUGGAAACGGUAGCUAAUACCGCAUACCAUCGGAUGUGCCCAGAUGGGAUUAGCUAGUAGGUGGGGUAAAGGCUCACCUAGGCGCCGAUCCCUAGCUGGUCUGAUAGGAUGACAAGACACACUGGAACUGAGACACGGUCCAGACGCCGACGGGAGGAAGAAGUGGUGAAUAGUGCACAAUGGGCGCAAGCCUGAUGCAGCCAUGCCGCUGGUAUGAAGAAGGCCGUCGGGUUGUAAAGUACUUUCAGCGGGGAGGCGUUACCCGCAGAAGAAGCACCGGCUAACUCCGUGCAAGCAGCCGCGGUAAUUC
rnacentral:rRNA from 1 species